rnacentral:rRNA from 1 species
UUCCGGUUGAUCCUGCCGGAAGUCACUGCUAUCGGGGUUCGAUUAAGCCAUGCGAGUCGAGAGGGUUCGGCCCUCGGCGUACUGCUCAGUAACACGUGGAUAACCUGCCCUAGGGAAGGGGAUAACCCCGGGAAACUGGGGAUAAUACCCUAUAGGUUACAGAUGCUGGAAUGCUCUGUAACCCAAAGUUCCGACGCCUUAGGAUGGAUCUGCGGCCGAUUAGGUUGUUGUCGGGGUAACGGCCCAACAAGCCAGUAAUCGGUACGGGUUGUGGGAGCAAGAGCCCGGAGUUGGAUUCUGAGACACGAAUCCAGGCCCUACGGGGCGCAGCAGGCGCGAAAACUUUACAAUGCGGGCAACCGUGAUAAGGGAACCUCGAGUGCCUGUAUAUGCAGGCUGUCCAGGUGUCUAAAACACACCUGAAGAAAGGGCCGGGCAAGACCGGUGCCAGCCGCCGCGGUAAUACCGGCGGCUCGAGUGGUGGCCACUUUUAUUGGGCUUAAAGCGUUCGUAGCUGGGUUGUUAAGUCUCUUGGGAAAUCUGACGGCUUAACCGUCAGGCGUCUAAGAGAUACUGGCAAUCUUGGAACCGGGAGAGGUGAGGGGUACUUCGGGGGUAGGAGUGAAAUCCUGUAAUCCUCGAGGGACCACCUGUGGCGAAGGCGCCUCACCAGAACGGCUUCGACAGUGAGGGACGAAAGCUGGCGGAGCAAACCGGAUUAGAUACCCGGGUAGUCCCAGCCGUAAACGAUGUGCGUUAGGUGUAUCGGUGACCACGAGUCACCGAGGUGCCGAAGGGAAACCGUGAAACGUACCGCCUGGGAAGUACGGUCGCAGGCUGAAACUUAAGGAAUUGGCGGGGGAGCACCACACAGUGGAGCCUGUGGUUCAUUGGAUUCAACGCCGGG